rnacentral:rRNA from 1 species
GACGAACGCUGGCGGCGUGCCUAAUACAUGCAAGUCGAGCGCAGGAAGCCGUCUGAACCCUUCGGGGGGACGACGGUGGAAUGAGCGGCGGACGGGUGAGUAACACGUAAAGAACCUGCCCAUAGGUCUGGGACAACCACGAGAAAUCGGGGCUAAUACCGGAUGUGUCAUCGGACCGCAUGGUCCGAUGAUGAAAGGCGCUUCGGCGUCGCCCAUGGAUGGCUUUGCGGUGCAUUAGCUAGUUGGUGGGGUAACGGCCCACCAAGGCGACGAUGCAUAGCCGACCUGAGAGGGUGAUCGGCCACACUGGGACUGAGACACGGCCCGGACUCCUACGGGAGGCAGCAGUAGGGAAUCUUCCACGAUGGACGAAAGUCUGAUGGAGCAACGCCGCGUGAACGAUGAAGGCUUUCGGGUCGUAAAGUUCUGUUGUAAGGGAAGAACAAGUGCCGCAGGCAAUGGCGGCACCUUGACGGUACCUUGCGAGAAAGCCACGGCUAACUACGUGCCAGCCGCCGCCGUAAAAC